UUGGAGGGCAAGUCUGGUGCCAGCAGCCGCGGUAAUUCCAGCUCCAAUAGCGUAUAUUAAAGUUGUUGCAGUUAAAAAGCUCGUAGUCGAAUUUCGGGGUUUAUCCGUUGGUCGGGCUUUUGGGUCUGUACUGGCGUGAUGGAUUCCUACCUUCUGAAUAACCAGCAUGUCAUUAAUUUGGUGCGUUGGGGAAGCAGGACUGUUACCUUGAAAAAAUUAGAGUGCUUAAAGCAGGCUAUUGCCUGAAUACAUUAGCAUGGAAUAAUGAAAUAGGACGCAUGGUUCUAUUUUGUUGGUUUCUAGGAUCACCGUAAUGAUUAAUAGGGAUAGUUGGGGGCAUUAGUAUUCAAUUGUCAGAGGUGAAAUUCUUGGAUUUAUUGAAGACUAACUUCUGCGAAAGCAUUUGCCAAGGAUGUUUUCAUUAAUCAAGAACGAAAGUUAGGGGAUCGAAGACGAUCAGAUACCGUCGUAGUCUUAACCAUAAACUAUGCCGACUAGGGAUCGGACGAUGUUAAUUUUUUAAUGACUCGUUCGGCGCCUUACGGGAAAC
rnacentral:rRNA from 1 species